rnacentral:tRNA from 1 species
GGGCCUGUAGCUCAGCUGGUUUAGAGCGUCGGUAUGGCAUACCGAAGAUCGUCGGUUCGAAUCCGAUCAGGUCCACAA